CAGCAGCCACGGUAAAACGAGGGGAGCUAGCGUUAUUCGGAAUUACUGGGCGUAAAGCGCACGUAGGCGGCUUUGUAAGUUAGAGGUGAAAGCCCAGAGCUCAACUCUAGAAUUGCCUUUAAGACUGCAUCGCUUGAAUCCAGGAGAGGUGAGUGGAAUUCCGAGUGUAGAGGUGAAAUUCGUAGAUAUUCGGAAGAACACCAGUGGCGAAGGCGGCUCACUGGACUGGUAUUGACGCUGAGGUGCGAAAGCGUGGGGAGCAAACAGGAUUAGAUACCCGCGUAGUCCCUGUCUCUUAUAA
rnacentral:rRNA from 1 species